rnacentral:rRNA from 1 species
UGGGGAAUUUUGGACAAUGGGGGCAACCCUGAUCCAGCAAUGCCGCGUGUGUGAAGAAGGCCUUCGGGUUGUAAAGCACUUUUGUCCGGAAAGAAAACGCCGUGGUUAAUACCCGUGGCGGAUGACGGUACCGGAAGAAUAAGCACCGGCUAACUACGUGCCAGCAGCCGCGGUAAUACGUAGGGUGCAAGCGUUAAUCGGAAUUACUGGGCGUAAAGCGUGCGCAGGCGGUCCGCUAAGACAGAUGUGAAAUCCCCGGGCUCAACCUGGGAACUGCAUUGGUGACUGGCAGGCUAGAGUAUGGCAGAGGGGGGUAGAAUUCCACGUGUAGCAGUGAAAUGCGUAGAGAUGUGGAGGAAUACCGAUGGCGAAGGCAGCCCCCUGGGCCAAUACUGACGCUCAUGCACGAAAGCGUGGGGAGCAAACAGGAUUAGAUACCCUGGUAGUCCACGCCCUAAACGAUGUCAACUAGUUGUUGGGGAUUCAUUUCCUUAGUAACGUAGCUAACGCGUGAAGUUGACCGCCUGGGGAGUACGGUCGCAAGAUUAAAACUCAAAGGAAUUGACGGGGUCAUAGCUGUUUCCU